UACGUAGGGGGCAAGCGUUGUCCGGAUUUAUUGGGCGUAAAGAGCGUGUAGGCGGCUUUGCAAGUCCGUUGUGAAAACUGGAGGCUUAACCUCCAGACGUCGAUGGAAACCGUAUGGCUAGAGUCCGGAAGAGGAGAGUGGAAUUCCUGGUGUAGCGGUGAAAUGCGCAGAUAUCAGGAAGAACACCCGUGGCGAAGGCGGCUCUCUGGGACGGUACUGACGCUGAGACGCGAAAGCGUGGGGAGCGAACAGG
rnacentral:rRNA from 1 species